AACGAACGCUGGCGGCAUGCCUAACACAUGCAAGUCGAACGAGACCUUCGGGUCUAGUGGCGCACGGGUGCGUAACGCGUGGGGACCUGCCCUUAGGUUCGGAAUAACUCCCCGAAAGGGGUGCUAAUACCGGAUAAUGUCUUCGGGCCAAAGAUUUAUCGCCUUUGGAUGGGCCCGCGUUGGAUUAGCUAGUUGGUAGGGUAAAAGCCUACCAAGGCGACGAUCCAUAGCUGGUCUGAGAGGAUGAUCAGCCACACUGGGACUGAGACACGGCCCAGACUCCUACGGGAGGCAGCAGUGGGGAAUAUUGGACAAUGGGCGAAAGCCUGAUCCAGCAAUGCCGCGUGAGUGAUGAAGGCCUUAGGGUUGUAAAGCUCUUUUACCCGGGAUGAUAAUGACAGUACCGGGAGAAUAAGCGCCGGCUAACUCCGUG
rnacentral:rRNA from 1 species